rnacentral:misc_RNA from 1 species
UUACUGCACAGGUGACGA